UGAGCAACAUAAGCUUUAAGCCAAAUCAUCUUUUUUAAAAAUCACUACAACUUCAGUUUCAUAUUCAUCGAUAUUUACAAAAACAAAUUGUGCGCUGAAUAGAUUUUUUCAUUAAACUUAAGAUCAAAUAAAUCUGAUUUCUUUAACAGGUAAUUGAAAUAAGUGUGAACAAUGAGUUCUGAAAGCCAAAGUCAAUCUCAAACUGCAUUAGCUUCAUUGCAUGCUACUUACACUGAUUCUGAAGGAGAAGCUGAAGAUUCUGAGGGAGAAGAAAGUAGCCCCGUUAAAAUUCCUUCUCCCAAUAAAGAGAGUAGCCAUAGCUCAAUGGAUGGUUUUGCUAAAGAGAACAAGCAACAAUCAAAAUUAGUGUCAUAUUCUACUGAAGCUCAUGAAGAUGAAGAUAUGAGUAAUUCAAAUGACAGUAAAUCUUCAUCCGAUAUGCAAGAUGAUUUUUUUUCCUUACAGUCAUCAGAUCACAAGGUAGUACCAACCGGAGCCCCACCUUUAUCACCAGUUUCAUUUCAUAGGAGUCUUUUAAAUUUGAAAGAAGAAGAUUUGCAACUUCCUAUCGAGCCAAUUGGAAGAUGUUCAAAAUCCCUGCAGGAAAAAAUUAGUGAUUUAUAUGAAAAGAAAAAGAAUGGCAAAGACAUGAAUGCCUCAAUUCAAAAGCGAAAAGAUUUUAGAAAUCCCAGUAUCUAUGAGAAGUUGAUCUCAUUUUGUAACAUUGAUGAACAAGGAACAAAUUAUCCACCUGAAGCAUAUGAUCCUCACUGUUGGGGUCCUGAAUCAUUUUAUGAAGAACUUGCUAAACGGCAAAAGGAAGAAAUGGAUAAACGAGAUAAAGAAAGGAAAGACCGAACUAAGGGUUUACAGAAAUUUUAGUUCCUAGAUUUGCAAUUUUUUAAAGGAAAAUAAGUUGAAUUUAUAUCGGGUACAGUUAAAAAACCUACUGAUUCUGCUUCUGAUGCUGCGAAACGUAAGAGUAAAUGGGAUGUUGGAAUGAGCCAGAUGCCCGC
rnacentral:misc_RNA from 1 species